CAAAUGAAUCAAAACUUUCAACAACGGAUCUCUUGGUUCUGGCAUCGAUGAAGAACGCAGCGAAAUGCGAUAAGUAAUGUGAAUUGCAGAAUUCAGUGAAUCAUCGAAUCUUUGAACGCACAUUGCGCCCGCCAGUAUUCUGGCGGGCAUGCCUGUUCGAGCGUCAUUUCAACCCUC
rnacentral:rRNA from 1 species